GACGAACGCUGGCGGCGUGCCUAAUACAUGCAAGUCGAGCGGAGCGGCGGACGGGUGCGUAAUGCCUAGGAAUCUGCCUGGUCGCGGGGGAUAACGUCCGGAACCGGGCGCUAAUACCGCAACCUAUCAGUUUCGCCUAGGUCGGUUUAGCUAGUUGGUGGGGUAAAGGCCUACCAAGGCGACGAUCCGUAGCUGGUCUGAGAGGAUGAUCAGUCACACUGGAACUGAGACACGGUCCAGACUCCUACGGGAGGCAGCAGUGGGGAAUAUUGGACAAUGGGCGAAAGCCUGAUGCAGCCAUGCCGCGUGUGUGAAGAAGGUCUUCGGAUUGUAAAGCACUUUAAGUUGGGAGGCGUUACCAGCAGAAGAAGCACCGGCUAACUCCGUGCCAGCCGCCGCGGUAAUUC
rnacentral:rRNA from 1 species